UACGUAGGGCGCGAGCGUUGUCCGGAAUUAUUGGGCGUAAAGAGCUCGUAGGCGGCUUGUCGCGUCGGUUGUGAAAGCCCGGGGCUUAACUCCGGGUCUGCAGUCGAUACGGGCAGGCUAGAGGUUCGGUAGGGGAGAGUCGGAAUUCCUGGUGUAGCGGUGAAAUGCGCAGAUAUCAGGAGGAACACCGGUGGCGAAGGCGGAUCGUCUGGGCCGAUACUGACGCUGAGGAGCGAAAGCGUGGGGAGCGAACAGGG
rnacentral:rRNA from 1 species